rnacentral:rRNA from 1 species
UACGAAGGGGGCUAGCGUUGUUCGGAAUUACUGGGCGUAAAGCGCACGUAGGCGGACUAUUAAGUCAGGGGUGAAAUCCCGGGGCUCAACCCCGGAACUGCCUUUGAUACUGGUAGUCUCGAGUCCGGAAGAGGUGAGUGGAAUUCCGGAGUGUAGAGGUGAAAUUCGUAGAUAUUCGGAGGAACACCAGUGGCGAAGGCGGCUCACUGGUCCGGUACUGACGCUGAGGUGCGAAAGCGUGGGGAGCAAACAGG